rnacentral:rRNA from 1 species
GUACCCGCUGAACUUAAGCAUAUCAAUAAGCGGAGGAAAAGAAACCAACAGGGAUUGCCCUAGUAACGGCGAGUGAAGCGGCAACAGCUCAAAUUUGAAAUCUGGCGUCUUUGGCGUCCGAGUUGUAAUUUGCAGAGGGCGCUUUGGCAUUGGCAGCGGUCCAAGUUCCUUGGAACAGGACGUCACAGAGGGUGAGAAUCCCGUACGUGGUCGCUAGCCUUUACCGUGUAAAGCCCCUUCGACGAGUCGAGUUGUUUGGGAAUGCAGCUCUAAAUGGGAGGUAAAUUUCUUCUAAAGCUAAAUACUGGCCAGAGACCGAUAGCGCACAAGUAGAGUGAUCGAAAGAUGAAAAGCACUUUGGAAAGAGAGUUAAAAAGCACGUGAAAUUGUUGAAAGGGAAGCGCUUGCAGCCAGACUUGCCUGUAGUUGCUCAUCCGGGUUUUUACCCGGUGCACUCUUCUACGGGCAGGCCAGCAUCAGUUUGGGCGGUUGGAUAAAGGUCUCUGUCAUGUACCUCCUCUCGGGGAGAUCUUAUAGGGGAGACGACAUGCAACCAGCCUGGACUGAGGUCCGCGCAUCUGCUAGGAUGCUGGCGUAAUGGCUGUAAGCGGCCCGUCUUGAAACACGGACCAAGGAGUCUAACAUCUAUGCGAGUGUUUGGGUGUCAAGCCCGAACGCGUAAUGAAAGUGAACGGAGGUGGGAACCUUUCGGGGUGCACCAUCGACCGAUCCUGAUGUCUUCGGAUGGAUUUGAGUAAGAGCAUAGCUGUUGGGACCCGAAAGAUGGUGAACUAUGCUUGAAUAGGGUGAAGCCAGAGGAAACUCUGGUGGAGGCUCGCAGCGGUUCUGACGUGCAAAUCGAUCGUCAAAUUUGGGCAUAGGGGCGAAAGACUAAUCGAACUAUCUAGUAGCUGGUUCCUGCCGAAGUUUCCCUCAGGAU